CGAGGAACUGAUGCCUGCCAACAACAACAGGAGUGAGACAGGUUUCGCCACCUUGACCAGGCUGUGAACUCCUAACUUCAAGUGAUCUGCCUGCCUUGGCCUCCCAAAGUGCUGAGAUUACAGAUUACCUGGUUAAUGUAGAUUAUCUUGGGCCCAGAAACUCUGAUUACAG
rnacentral:lncRNA from 1 species